GCUUAACACAUGCAAGUCGAGCGGGCGUAGCAAUACGUCAGCGGCAGACGGGUGAGUAACGCGUGGGAACGUACCUUUUGGUUCGGAACAACACAGGGAAACUUGUGCUAAUACCGGAUAAGCCCUUACGGGGAAAGAUUUAUCGCCGAAAGAUUGGCCCGCGUCUGAUUAGCUAGUUGGUGAGGUAAUGGCUCACCAAGGCGACGAUCAGUAGCUGGUCUGAGAGGAUGAUCAGCCACAUUGGGACUGAGACACGGCCCAAACUCCUACGGGAGGCAGCAGUGGGGAAUAUUGGACAAUGGGCGCAAGCCUGAUCCAGCCAUGCCGCGUGAGUGAUGAAGGCCCUAGGGUUGUAAAGCUCUUUUGUGCGGGAAGAUAAUGACGGUACCGCAAGAAUAAGCCCCGGCUAACUUCGUGCCAGCAGCCGCGGUAAUAC
rnacentral:rRNA from 1 species